rnacentral:rRNA from 1 species
UACGUAGGUGGCAAGCGUUGUCCGGAAUUAUUGGGCGUAAAGCGCGCGCAGGCGGUCCUUUAAGUCUGAUGUGAAAGCCCACGGCUCAACCGUGGAGGGUCAUUGGAAACUGGGGGACUUGAGUGCAGGAGAGAAGAGUGGAAUUCCACGUGUAGCGGUGAAAUGCGUAGAUAUCGGGAGGAACACCAGUGGCGAAGGCGGCGACCUGGGCCAAUAUUGACGCUGAGGUGCGAAAGCGUGGGGAGCAAACAGG